ensembl:snoRNA
UGAUGGCAAUGAUGAUUUUUAAACUUAUUGUUUACCUGAUAAGUAAAUAUGAGGGUGUUCAGUCACUACCUCAUCUGAUGCCAUCU